rnacentral:rRNA from 1 species
UACAGAGACUGCAAGCGUUAUUCGGAUUCACUGGGCGUAAAGGGUGCGCAGGUGGCCGUGUGUGUCAGAUGUGAAAUCCCGGGGCUUGACUCCGGAACUGCGUCUGAAACUACACGGCUAGAGCAUUGGAGAGGGUAGUGGAAUUCACGGUGUAGCAGUGAAAUGCGUAGAUAUCGUGAGGAACACCAGAGGCGAAGGCGACUACCUGGACAAUAGCUGACACUCAGGCACGAAAGCGUGGGGAGCCAAAGGG